AGGCCCAAAGACCAGGAAUGCAACAAAUAAGUAACCCUCUGCUGUAGUGGAGAAUGGUAUUGUCUCACUACAGGUGCUUCUUUCAGUGUAGUAAUUUACAUUAUAUACCAGAAAUGUGGCAAAAAGCCUGAGGUUUAAAUCCUGUCACCUUUGCUGAAGUCACCUCAGCACAAUACUGCAAACUGAGAAGGGCCAGAUGUUGAAAUUCCACAGUGGAAAGCCACUUUCUUUUUCUCAUCAUUCUUCUGUCUUGGAGAACUGUCAAAUCAGUUAAGAAACUGAGGGGUGGGCUUGCUGAGGACUGUGUAGAACGCCAAGCUAUUCAGAGAGCCUCACCUCUGAGAAAGCAGCAGUCUGCAGCAGGUACCAUGCUUCCUCCUCUGCCCACUCCAAAAUACUGCCCACUAAGUUGUACAAUCCACAGAAACCUUUUGCUAUAGUUUUCCUGUUAGAAGUUUGAGCCACAAUUGUUACUUUAAAACCCAGAGGAGAGAUUGCAGCAGUUACAUGCAGUAACAGUGAAACUAAAGAUAGCCCAGCAUUUGCUCUGGCCCAGGUGCCUUGGGGUGGCUGGCAGGACUCAAUGUUGACAUGUUGGGCCUGGACCCUUCUGGAACUUUGUCUUUCCCAUGAAGCUUGAUUAAAAAGCUAUCAAAUAUAUUUUUUCACAUCUGACUGGGCUCCUCACAAUCAGAGGUAGUCAACUGUCACACUGAUCCAACCUCUUAAGAACCCACCUUUGAUGAGGAGGAGCUAGUUCAACCACGCAGGUGUCGCUGGGCUUUCAAACAGAAGGAAGCAGAGUUUUCUUUUUAUUUAAUUCAGCUGAAACACCUGCUGUUACAGCUCCCCUAGACACAAUGACAGCCCUGCUCCUCCUAUGGCUCACAAACAAGGAUGUGCUGCAGCUCCCUGAGAUAGGCUGUGGUCCAGUUCUGCUGCUGAAGGGAUACAGUUGUCCUCCUCUUUCCUACAGUCUCACAGUAAGUUUUCACCAGUGCUGAUACAGUCACCAACCGACUCAGCUCAGUCACGCAGAAGAAAACUGACCUGACAACGGUUUUCUCCCACGUUGGUGAUUUGAACAGGCUCGUUAAAUUGUACAACCAACAGUACAGCAGCCUGCACCAGGGAUGGGCAAACACCACGCAACCAGGAGCAGAAAAAAGGGAAGGAGUAAGAUGUCUGUCUGUUGAGAGCCACAUACAGUAGUGUCAGCUCAGACAAAAUGAGGGCAGCAGGCUCCUGCUGGUACCACACUGCAGUGUUUCUGCACACUGCCCUUUUCCACGCCUUCCCUCCCUCAGUAUUGCCCAGAAUGCUCCUAUCAGUACAGAAGAGAAUAAUUUGGAUGAGUCUCAUAAGGAGCAGAAGCCCUACUUUUGUCUAAUGCUCUCCACAACAUAUGAAGGCUUUAAUUUACAAACCCUGCGUAUAUUCCAAGUCUCUUGGAGGAGUGGACAGGCACCAGCAGAGUUUGAGACGGGGCCAACUGUACAGAGCCAGAGAAAGAGCCAUCAGGGAAAAGCAAGAAAAUAUUGCUUCCCAUCUAUCAUUCUAAGGGGUAUAAAAGAUCAGUUGGAUGGGAAGAGAUUCCACAUUCAUCUCUUGGAAGGGUACAAGGGAAAGACUGAUUUUUGAAUAGUGGUAAAGAAUGAGAAGGAGUGGGGCAGUAUCUACCAGAAAAAUACAUGCAAUACUCGAGCCAAAACACAACAGCAGGUUGUGCUGUAUCUGGAGAGAUGGUUAAAAAGAUUGCAGCAAGGCACUGCAGAGAACAGGGACGGGAGGUUAGGAGUUAGAGCAGAGAAACAACAAAGAACAGCGCAGAGGAAGUGAACACAAUAGUUGCUAAACAUGUGGAAGGUGCUUAAGCAAAGUAAAUAAGUGGUGUAACAAACCGUACGUGUACACGGUAUUAAAGUCUGGGAGCAGCUGCAGCCCAUGUUCAUUCACUCCUACUAUCUUACACAUAUAAAAACUUAAACUUAGUGAAGCGAUCAAGUGCUGCAGCAAAAAGAACGAGAUCCAUGUGAUCCAACUUGGCUAUAAAUACAGCAAUAAUCUGAGAAUUUUG